AUGGGCUGUAGGGCUGUGGGGCUGGAGCUAGAAGAGGUGCCUGCUCUCUUGGCAGGGGGCUAUGGGCGAGGCUGUGAGGUGGGCCCAGUGCUGGAGACGGUCCUCUCCCAGCUGAGAAGGGAAGGGAAAGGGGGUGACGGAGGGGGAGGGAGAGGGGACAGGCAAGUGAGAGGGCCACCAGCUGUGGCCUUGGGGAGCCCCCUCCCCACUACCACUUCAUGGCGCCCACCCACUACCGUUGCCCUCAUCAGCAAGGACAGCUUUUAUGAGCAUUCAACAGAAG
rnacentral:lncRNA from 1 species